rnacentral:lncRNA from 1 species
GGGAUAAUAUAGGGGAUAUAGGGGGAACAAGGACCAGCUGCUGCAGCUGGAGGAGCUGGUGGAGAUCCUAUAGAUUGUAUAGGAUGUAUGGGGUUAUAUAGGAUAUAAUAUAGGGGAUAUAUAGGGGAUAUAGGGGAUAUAGGGGAUAUGGGGGGAUAUGGGGGAUAUAGGGGGUAUAGGGGGAUAUAGGGGGAUAUAGGGGGAUAUAGGGGGAUAUAGGGGAUAUGGGGACAUUAUGGGGAUAUGGGGGUAAUGGGGACAUUGUGGGAGCAAUAGGGGCACUGGGGACAUUGGGGUUUCAUGGGGACAUUGGGGUCUCUAUGGGGUCACUGUGUUCCCUAUGGGGCCAUGAGGACAUUGGGGUCUCUAUGGGGUCACCGUGUUCCCUAUGGGGCCAUGGGGUCUCUAUGGGGUCCCUAUAUGGCCAUGGGGGCUCUAUGGGGUCAUGGGGUCUCUAUGGGGCCAUUGGGGUCUCUAUGGGGUCUCUAUGGGUCUCUAUGGGUCUCUAUGGGGUCCCUAUGUGUCUCUAUGGGUCUCUAUGGGGUCUCUAUGGGUCUCUAUGAGUCCCUAUGGGGUCUCUAUGGGUCUCUAUGGGUCUCUAUGGGGUCUCUAUGGGUCUCUAUGGGGUCUCUGUGGGUCUCUAUGGGGUCCCUAUGGGUCUCUAUGGGGUCUCUAUGGGGUCCCUAUGGGUCUCUAUGGGUCCCUAUGUGUCCCUAUGGGUCUCUAUGUGUCCCUAUGGGUCCCUAUGUGCCCCACACAUCCCCCAUUACCUGUGCUGCUGUUGUUGCUGCUGCUGCUGCUGCUCCCCCCGUGUCGCUCCCCCUCGUCGUGGGGCCGGGACAUGCUCAGAUCUGUGGGGCCAAUAGAGAUCAAUGGGGAUCAAUGGGGAUCAAUAGGGAUCAAUGGGGAUCAAUAGUGAUCAAUGGGGAUCAAUGGGGAGCAAUGGGGAUCAAUGGGGAGCAAUGGGGAGCAAUAGUGAUCAAUGGGGAGCAAUGGGGA